CGGGACACGUGGUAUCCUGUCUGAAUAUGGGGGGACCAUCCUCCAAGGCUAAAUACUCCUGACUGACCGAUAGUGAACCAGUACCGUGAGGGAAAGGCGAAAAGAACCCCGGCGAGGGGAGUGAAAAAGAACCUGAAACCGUGUACGUACAAGCAGUGGGAGCACGCUUAGGCGUGUGACUGCGUACCUUUUGUAUAAUGGGUCAGCGACUUAUAUUCUGUAGCAAGGUUAACCGAAUAGGGGAGCCGAAGGGAAACCGAGUCUUAACUGGGCGUUAAGUUGCAGGGUAUAGACCCGAAACCCGGUGAUCUAGCCAUGGGCAGGUUGAAGGUUGGGUAACACUAACUGGAGGACCGAACCGACUAAUGUUGAAAAAUUAGCGGAUGACUUGUGGCUGGGGGUGAAAGGCCAAUCAAACCGGGAGAUAGCUGGUUCUCCCCGAAAGCUAUUUAGGUAGCGCCUCGUGAAUUCAUCUCCGGGGGUAGAGCACUGUUUCGGCAAGGGGGUCAUCCCGACUUACCAACCCGAUGCAAACUGCGAAUACCGGAGAAUGUUAUCACGGGAGACACACGGCGGGUGCUAACGUCCGUCGUGAAGAGGGAAACAACCCAGACCGCCAGCUAAGGUCCCAAAGUCAUGGUUAAGUGGGAAACGAUGUGGGAAGGCCCAGACAGCCAGGAUGUUGGCUUAGAAGCAGCCAUCAUUUAAAGAAAGCGUAAUAGCUCACUGGUCGAGUCGGCCUGCGCGGAAGAUGUAACGGGGCUAAACCAUGCACCGAAGCUGCGGCAGCGACGCUGAUGCGUUGUUGGGUAGGGGAGCGUUCUGUAAGCCUGUGAAGGUGUGCUGUGAGGCAUGC
rnacentral:rRNA from 1 species